UUUUUUUCAACUUAUUAAUAUUUAUAUAGUCAGGAUAAAUAUGUAUUUAUUUCGUUCAAGAAGGCAUCAUGAAAUGUGUCUAAUAACACCUUUGGUGAUCUGCAGUCGGAUUUCCAUGUGCAGAAAAGUGCAAUUAUUUUAGGGGCUGUUAUAUUUUCUUUGGUAGUGUAGAAGUGUCCGCCUAACAUUCGUGAGAGUUUAUUCGAAUACCUAGUGAUCAGUGUUCCUUCUAUCUAGUCUUUUAGUACACUUUCUUGCUUUUUAGAGCGUGUGCAAGGAGAUAUACUCUUGCUCAAUCAGUUACGUUUUCAAAAUUGGUCUUAGGUUGCCCGUUAUUGCAUCACGAUCCUUAUUAUGGUAUUUAAAUUAUUUGGAAUACUACUCACGCACGGUUCACGUCGUGGUUUUUAAAAGAUAUUUUAUGCUGUCAUGUUUAUGUUUUUGGAAUUGCGUUUUCAUGAUGGAAGAGCUAACCUUGUUUUCUUCUCUUUUUGAGAUGUACUUCUGGUCAUCUUCAUACCACAAUGCAGGUUUUGAGUUGGUUUUUUCAUACAAAUGGA
rnacentral:lncRNA from 1 species